GUCUAGAGAUGAUUUACUCUGCCAGGCGGCAGCACUCAAAGCACACAGGAUCCUGAACCUCAACAACAACCCCUACUUUUCUGGCCCUAAUGUUGCAACGGCCGUGACAGCGUCGAGGCUCGGGCAUGUGGCCGUCGACGUGGAGCAGGCAGAGGAGAAGCGACUACUACCCCAACGGCAGCCUCUUCUCCCUUGUCCAUGGUACAUAUCAUUUGAUUUGCUGCCUCACAAUUUCCCUCGGCUGGCUUGCGUGUGCAGGUACUAAUCUUGGUGUGAGCUCAAGGUAAAAGGCAAAGCCUGAAGGUUGGCAAUCAUCAUUAGCUAGGUAGUUAUAGAUGGUCUGCUUACUUAGCAUAAUUUGGAAGUAUUAAAUACAGUACUCAAUAUUAGUUGUCUUUUGAAAAAUAUGCCAGUCUUGUUUGUCGCAUACAUAUUAUUAAUCUAGAAGAAACCAAGAGCAGACACUCACACUUUGGUCGAACCCACAUUUUAAACCUGGGAUAAGUAGAUAUCAGUUGUACUUAAUGGUUAUAAAUAUGUUUUUUCCCAAUAUCUGAAGUAUUGCGACGGAGCGAGAUAUCUGAAUACCACCAGCAAUUAUUACUGUUUCUUGCACAAUUCAAAGAACUUAACAUUUAUCCUGAAAGUAAUCAUAAAUCAAUGGUAGAUAGAAUCACAACUAAUUAAAAUAACCUCGUGCUAUUUAUUUCUUAUAGUAUUGGAAGUUUUGUUAGUGUCCAUGCAUCUGCAUACCAAGAUGUGAUAUUUUCCAAUUGAAAGGUAGCAAUGUGUAAAGUUAAAUGAUUCCAUACAGUUAACUUCGGGGAUAGUCUAAUGGUUAUUUUAACUUAAUUGACUUGGUAAUUUAUGCACUUACCUCAUCUCAUCAUGCAAAUAUAACCCACGGUAUUGUACAGUGGUAGCCCAACUCCAUAUCACCUCGACCCCUCCUUCUCGACUUCUUCACGCAUGCACAGGUAAAGUGGCGGGUUGGCGCAAGUCUUUGAGCUGCGAUGCGGAGCACACUGCAGAGUGGCACGACGUACAAAGAGCUUUGCUGCUCGCAGGACCAGGAGUGCAGCAGCACGGGGGUGCUGGGAGAUGGACGCAGGCCAAGAAAAGGACCAUGACCGUACCAAGGAGGUGAUGAACACAACAAACAGCCGGUGUUCAGGGUGUGUUUCUUUUGUUCCCUGAAUCUCUCUCAUGUCAAUAGCUUCUCAUGAUGGAGCACAAGGCCCUGUUGCAGUUAGCCCUGGAAAUGUUAGCUCUGUCGUCCGCGUCCAGGCCACCUUCUCUUAUUUGUCCCUUUCUCUCCGCUCCGUCCCUUUCCGCUAGAUCCGACGCCCUUCCGGCUUGUCGUUGCCUUGUCGCCGUGACAAAGGAGCAACUGAAAACCAAAGGAGCCCCGCCUUUCCCGCAUGCACGUGCGCGAUGCGUCUCGCCGCCGCCAUCUUCGGUCCCCGUCCCCUGCUCCGCCUCCUCCGCCACGCCCCCCACCGCGAGCCCGCGUCAUCUGUCAUGGCCCACGCCACGAGAUCCGUCAUCCAAUGCGCGCUGUCACUCCUCCUUCUAUGCCCACUGCUGGUGCUCCCCCGUCGCUCCUCCUCCUCCAUCGUGAGGCGCUGCACUUGGCCGCAGUUCUACUCCAGGGUUAGGAUUUUCUAUUGGAUUGGUGACUGUUCUGAGCUGGUAAUAUGUCAUGCUCGGCCAUCCCGUUGCAGGUUGCCACCAAUGAGAAUACAGCCAGUGGACUGGUUUUGCUUGUCAGCAACCAAAACAAGAACAAGUCAAUUCUUAUCUGUACAUAUUCAAUUUGUGGAUGGUUGGAGGCUCUGUGUUCAUGGCUUAUAUGGGUCAUCUUUAUAUCUGGGCCAUGGUGGUUGUGAUUCAAAUGUUUAUGGAAACAAAGCUUUUUAACCUAUUGUAUGAUGUCUUAUAG